GAUAAACGCUGGCGGCAGGCUUAACACAUGCAAGUCGAGCGGAGAGAGGUAGCUUGCUACUGAUCUUAGCGGCGGACGGGUGAGUAAUGCUUAGGAAUCUGCCUAUUAGUGGGGGACAACAUUUCGAAAGGAAUGCUAAUACCGCAUACGUCCUACGGGAGAAAGCAGGGGAUCUUCGGACCUUGCGCUAAUAGAUGAGCCUAAGUCGGAUUAGCUAGUUGGUGGGGUAAAGGCCUACCAAGGCGACGAUCUGUAGCGGGUCUGAGAGGAUGAUCCGCCACACUGGGACUGAGACACGGCCCAGACUCCUACGGGAGGCAGCAGUGGGGAAUAUUGGACAAUGGGCGGAAGCCUGAUCCAGCCAUGCCGCGUGUGUGAAGAAGGCCUUAUGGUUGUAAAGCACUUUAAGCGAGGAGGAGGCUACUUUAGUUAAUACCUAGAGAUAGUGGACGUUACUCGCAGAAUAAGCACCGGCUAACUCUGUGCCAGCCGCCGCCGUAA
rnacentral:rRNA from 1 species